rnacentral:lncRNA from 1 species
AUCAAUGGAGCCAAAAGUUUGAUAAAAAAAAGGGUCUUCAAUAGUUUUAAAAUUAAUGAAUGCGAUAAUUGUGUAUGUUGGUUGAAGCAAGUUCCAAAGCAAUGUUACCAAAAGUUUGGCAAGUGAUGAAAUUCUUCUUUCUCAAUCUCAUUACGUUGAGAGUAUACUUGAAUAGCUGGUGUCUCACCUAAAGUGUUCACAAGUUAUAGCACGCUAAUGUACAUUACAAACUUUAAUUGACCUGAUAUAACAUAUGCUAUGAAUAAACUUAGUAGAUUCAACUUCAACCAAAUAUUCGAAUAUAUUUCGAUAAUCAAUUCAAGAGUAGAUGAUCGUAGUAUAUUUGAAAUUUCAAAUCCAAUUUCGGAUGAAUAGAAAACCAUUGUCCAAAGAUAGGAGGAAAACUCAGAUUUUGCCCAUAUAAAACUGUCGCUUGAGCAGCUUCCUAGAGCAUAGCAAGCGGUGGUGUCACUGCUAUGGGUGCUUGAGUGGCUUGCUGGGCGACCUGAAGGGCUGCGUCCCUUCAUGAAACAUGCUGAAUAUUGGGGUGUCACUUUAACCACAACCCCUUAUCCUUUAUAAAUUGGACACCCUAGAUGGUUUAAGAUAAUUUCAUAUUAUAAUCAUCGAUUGCUUUGCAUCAAAACGCUUCCAACACAUUUUUUUCUUGCAUAAAAAAUCAUUGUUUUAGUAGAAAGAAAAUUCUAUUUUGGGUUUUAUGUUGCUUUGAAGUUUGCCGUACUUCCACUGAAAGAAGGAAUUAUUGUAUUUUAGGAGAUGAUUGCCAAGACUCUAUUAGCCCCAUUGUGCAGCAAAUUUAUCUUAAAGACAAGGUGUUGAACAAUUGCCUCGGUUUGCAUUUUCAUUGGUUCGUUCUUCAUAUUCUGCAACUUUUGUUCACAUUCCAGGUAAGUUUUACAUUGGUUAUUAUUUGUUAGUUUGAAUUUUAAUUUGCAAAGCGCGCACACACCCCAACAGCUUUUACAUUAGAAAUGUGGGAUGAUAUUUUCUCCGAGGAUUGUGAAUCAGACCAAUCAGGAGAUGAAGAAGCAAAAAUCUAAAUGCCAAUUGAAAAUCCAUCCUCUCAAGUAUCUUUUGACUAUGAUGAAUCUGAUAAUUUAAAUUUUAUGAUGAGUGAGAGUGAUUUUGAAAAAUUUAUAGGUAAACAUUGUUGGGCCUUCUGUGCUUAACAAUUGGGUCACUUAUUAAAUGAAGCCUAACGAUUUGUUGAUUAAUUGGCUGACCUGGUUCACUUAUCCAUUUGUUGCCUCUUAUUUACAAAGUUCAUUUUUAGUUAUAAUGAGGAAACAACUGAGAUGAUGACAAGUGAUAAUGUUGUGACUGUUGACGGUAAGACUCUGUCUUUUAGACAUAAAUUAAUUCUCUCUCAUUUGAGAGAGAAUUUUUCCUAGAUUUUCUUUGAAUUCUUUGUCUUCUCUCUGAUUAUUGUUGUGUUUGUGAGGUAAAUUUAAAUAGAGAGUUUGAGGAUUUAUAUACAGUUAUUGGUGAGCAGUAAUCUCUAGUUGCUUGGUGUAAAUUUUGUUUUGGAACGUGUUGUAAGAGAAAACUAUAAUUGAGGGCAUUUCUUGAUGAAUACUUCGCAUAUUCAUAGUAAUCUUGAACAUUAUUUGAUUGAGCUAUUGAAUUUGUAGCAUUAACAAUAUCGUGGAUUUUCAACUUGGUGAGUAGACCUUUUGGUUGAUAAUCGGACCCUUUGAAAUGAAAAAUCUUAGUGUUUUCAUAUUUUCUUUACUGUAUUUUGAGUUUGUAGUUAUCUCUGAGACCAAUAGUAGUAUUAGAGCAUUCGGUCCGAUGGAUAACUCCUUUGAACCUUUACUAUUGGAAUUUUACAGUAAAAAGCUUAAGAUCUAUGUAGAUAUAGAAAUUUCAAAGGUGGAGUCUCUUUUUUCUUGGAGAUUGACAGUGGAUUUUGGAUUUUUUGGGUUGAUAUUUUUUAAAUGUAAUUACUAGCUUUAGUUGUAUCAUGAUCAAUAUUUCUCCUUUCGUUUUUCUUGAUUUUCAACAUUCUUUUCUCUUCCUCUCUCUCCCUAGUAAAAUUCGAUACACUUGAAUUUACAUAGAAAUACUACAAACCAUUCAUUCUCUUCCAAAACGAGAAUGUUGAACCAUUCAUGUCAUUCGAAUAAUAAAUUCAAAAAACCAAUAUGCUUCUAAAGAGUCCCUGAUAAUUCCUACAUUUCCAUUUCACCUCAAUGUCAGUCUGAGAAGUUUAAUGGUCAAAACUCGACACGUAGAACUGUAGUGAGCAAUCGAAGAUACCAACCUAAGUUUAGUGAUUAUUGGGACAUCUGAGACUUUUGAUGAGUAACCAAAGACACCAACCUUCAUGACGAUUUCAAAUUUAUGUGUGUUGUCUACUUUGGGCAAUAAAUAAAGGUGCCCUUUGAUGAAGAAGGAAUGCCAAGCACAAGAAUGUUGGGAAAUUAUUUAAUUUUUCAUGUAGGCCGAUGUAUGUAAUUAAUUGUUUAUAAAGACUAUCUUAAAAUUAAGUUCAUAAUUAAAGUGAUCUAAUAAAGAAUUAAGUGAUUGGGCUUAGAUCAUCUAAAUAAAAUAUGGGUCGAAUUAUGUGUAGAGACCAAAUUUCUUUAGAAUUGUAUUUCAUGAUGGACGAAAUACAUAUGAAAAGUAUAUAUAUAGGUUAUGUUCUCCAAUUCAUAUGUCACUUCUCAUUCUUUGUGUCAUCUCAUCAAUUCAAGAAUAUAAGAGAAAAUAUAUUAGGGGAAAAAAACCAUAAUUAAGAAUCAAGAAGGAAGAAUUCAAGAAUCAAGUCUAUGGAUCAAUAAGCAAAACCAAGAUCAACAACUCAAGAAUCGAAAGAGUCAAUAUUCAAUAUUCAAAAUCUAGAAUCAAGAUCUAGCAAGAACAUUCUCAAUGAAUUAAGGUACGUUUUGCACUUUAUAAUUCUCUUGGUGAUUUGACAUGGAGGAUCUUGGAAAUAAA